rnacentral:tRNA from 1 species
UCCCUAGUGGCUCAGUAGGUAAAGAAUCUGUCUGUAAUGCAGGAGACCCAGGUUUGAUCCCUGGGUCAGGAA